rnacentral:rRNA from 1 species
UACAGAGGUCCCAAGCGUUGUUCGGAUUCACUGGGCGUAAAGGGCGCGUAGGCGGCCACCGCAAGUCGACUGUGAAAUCUCCGGGCUUAACCCGGAAAGGUCAGCCGAUACUGCGGGGCUAGAGUGCAGAAGGGGCAACUGGAAUUCUCGGUGUAGCGGUGAAAUGCGUAGAUAUCGAGAGGAACACCUGCGGCGAAGGCGGGUUGCUGGGCUGACACUGACGCUGAUGCGCGAAAGCUAGGGGAGCGAACGGG